UACGUAGGGAGCGAGCGUUGUCCGGAAUUACUGGGUGUAAAGGGUGCGUAGGCGGGACAGUAAGUCAGACGUGAAAUCUUGAGGCUCAACCUCAAGCGUGCGUUUGAAACUAUUGUUCUUGAGUGAAGUAGAGGUAGGCGGAAUUCCUAGUGUAGCGGUGGAAUGCGUAGAUAUUAGGAGGAACACCAGUGGCGAAGGCGGCCUACUGGGCUUUUACUGACGCUGAGGCACGAAAGCGUGGGGAGCAAACAGG
rnacentral:rRNA from 1 species